rnacentral:rRNA from 1 species
AGCUCCAAUAGCGUAUAUUAAAGUUGUUGCGGUUAAAAAGCUCGUAGUUGGAUUUCUGCUGAGGACAACCGGUCCGCCUUCUGGGUGAGCAUCUGGGAUGGCCUGGGCAUUUUUUUGGAGAGCGUGGCUGCACUUGACUGUGUGGCGCGGUAUGCAAAACUUUUACUUUGAGGAAAUCAGAGUGUUUUGAGCAAGCACACGCCGUGAAUACAUUAGCAUGGAAUAAUACAACAGGGCCUUGGCUCUAUUUUGUUGGUUUCUAGAAUCAAGGCAAUGAUUAAUAGGGAUAAUUGGGGGCAUUUGUACUUAAUUGUCAGAGGUGAAAUUCUUGGAUUUAAUAAAGACAGACCAAUGCGAAAGCACUUGCCAAGGAUGUUU